GUAUAAUUCCUUAACCCUAACACGACUCACCCUUUCCCUCUCUGACUCUCUUCCUCGUAUUACCUUUUCUCACUUCUCACUCAACGAACCAGCGAUCUCUGCGAGUCGGCGACGAACAUAGCAGCGGCAGCCAUUCUUUCCAUCUCCGGCGAACUUGUAGUGAUCCAGCAAUUAGGUCCUCUCAUCAUUUUUAUCAUUCUCCGGCGAGGCGGCAACGAAUUAGACUAACAGUGGAAGUCGGCGAUCUCAUCUCAGACUUCAGAUAUCAGAUUUAUCAAACACCACCUAGGAUAGCAGAAAAACGGAGAGAGUGAAAGACAAAGAUGCCAGGAGGAGCGUUUUGGGCGACGAGGGUGCUAGAAAUAGUGAAGAAACAUGACUCGGGAGGUCUGGUUUGGAAGAGAAUCAAGCUUACUUGUACCAGAAAAGCCAACGCCAAGAAGAGGCUUCUCCGGGUUUGGCAGAAUGAGGCUGUCUUGAAGGCUUGUGCUGAACCACCUCCUUCAGAAGCUUCAACUGCUGGUGCUACUGGAAUAUCCAAGAAAGAUUGCACCUUGCAACCUUAGCAGAAAUGAGUGACAACACCAGAUGAGCCUGAAGUGUGGGCUUUGGCGAUUCCAAGUUUCUUGUGGAAAUCGUUUUUUCCGAACAAAUAGAGGUUUACGAUCCAAACGGCAGCUUCACAUCCUCCCACCUUGAAGCAAAGCAAAUAAUUCCCUUACUCAAUGGCGACAUUUUUACGAUUUAAGAACAUGUCGUAUAAACUUAGAAAUUUUGUUCUGAUUCUUAGAAGAAAUAUUACAUGGAUAUUAUAUAAUAUCAAAGCCUUCUCCAUGUUUCCAUCAUGGACAAUGAAAAGGUGAACAUGAUUGAUGGGGUAAAGUUGU